UGGCUAUUUUUGGAUAAAGCGGCUAAUCACUGUGUUGCAGCCCGCCUAUAAAGCCUGGACGCAUUCUCCAGACCACUCAUACUACGCUCAAGGAUCACACAGCACUUAUUUCACUGCUGUAUUUCAAGGAGCACAAACAGAAACACUGAAGAAUGAAAAACAGGAGGUUGCUGUUGUCUCUUCCUCCAUUACCCACAAUUACAGAGACACUGGAGGAGCUACCUGUCCAUCCCACCUCCUUGAAACCAUCUCAGAGCUCCCACUCUUUUGAGGACUACAUGUCCAGCAUCCAGGCACUAGCGCGACCUGUAGAAGGCCCGAGUUACGGCCCCGUCAGACUCCAGAGGUCACCCAGGCAGCGUCAGCUCUCAAAAGCUGCACGUGUGUCUUCACGCACACCGAGGACUUCUAGAGCCUCCAGUCUGUGCACACACAGCACAGAGGAGUUUUCGCUAAAGAUGAGCAGAGAACAAGACUGCCGGGGCAAAGACCCCAUGGACUGGCUCUUUGGACAAAUAAGGACUUGAAGAGAGACAUUUUUGUUGUUGGACAUAAUGUGGGUACUUUGAUGGAGUGAAGAAAUAAAUUCUGAAGGGACCUCAGGAAUAACUGCUCCACCAUGGCUCAUAAUAAUAGUGCAAAUUCAACCUAUUUAUUUCUAUUUACUAAAGACUCUAUGAGACCUAUAUGUUUACCUUUAAUAUUUUAUGAAGUCUUAAGCUGUUGUUUCUAAUAAAAUCCUAAUAUAUCAAAAA